rnacentral:rRNA from 1 species
UACGAAGGGGGGCUAGCGUUGUUCGGAUUUACUGGGCGUAAAGCGCACGUAGGCGGUUUGUUAAGUCAGAGGUGAAAUCCCGGAGCUCAACUCCGGAACUGCCUUUGAUACUGGCAAGCUAGAGUCCGGAAGAGGUAAGUGGAACUCCUAGUGUAGAGGUGGAAUUCGUAGAUAUUAGGAAGAACACCAGUGGCGAAGGCGGCUUACUGGUCCGGAACUGACGCUGAGGUGCGAAAGCGUGGGGAG